AGAGCGAACGCUGGCGGCAGGCCUAAUACAUGCAAGUCGAACGGAUCCUUCGGGAUUAGUGGCGGACGGGUGAGUAACACGUGGGAACGUGCCUUUUGGUUCGGAACAACUCAGGGAAACUUGAGCUAAUACCGAAUGUGCCCUUCGGGGGAAAGAUUUAUCGCCAUUAGAGCGGCCCGCGCCUGAUUAGCUAGUUGGUGGGGUAAUGGCCCACCAAGGCUACGAUCAGUAGCUGGUCUGAGAGGAUGAUCAGCCACACUGGGACUGAGACACGGCCCAGACUCCUACGGGAGGCAGCAGUAGGGAAUCUUGCGCAAUGGGCGAAAGCCUGACGCAGCCAUGCCGCGUGAAUGAUGAAGGUCUUAGGAUUGUAAAAUUCUUUCAGCGGGGACGAUAAUGACGGUACCGCAGAAGAACGCCCGGCUAACUCGCGCCAGCAGCCGC
rnacentral:rRNA from 1 species